GCAUAUCAAUAAGCGGAGGAAAAGAAACCAACAGGGAUUGCCUUAGUAACGGCGAGUGAAGCGGCAACAGCUCAAAUUUGAAAUCUGGCCUCUCUCGGGGUCCGAGUUGUAAUUUGGAGAGGAUGUUUCGGGUACGGCCCGGGCUUAAAUUUCUUGGAACAGAAUGUCACGGAGGGUGAGAAUCCCGUCUGGAGCCCGGGCACGGCCUAUGUGAAACUCCUUCGACGAGUCGAGUUGUUUGGGAAUGCAGCUCUAAAUGGGUGGUAAAUUUCAUCUAAAGCUAAAUAUUGGCCAGAGACCGAUAGCGCACAAGUAGAGUGAUCGAAAGAUGAAAAGCACUUUGAAAAGAGAGUUAAACAGUACGUGAAAUUGUUGAAAGGGAAGCGCUGGCAACCAGACUUGCGCGUCGGGGUUCCCCCUUGCUUCUGCUUGGGCUACUCCCCGGCGUUCAGGCCAACAUCGGUUUCGGGGGUUGGUUAAAGGCCCUGGGAAUGUACCUACCCUCCGGGGUAGACUUAUAGCCCAGGGUGUCAUGCGACCUCCCGGGACCGAGGAACGCGCUUCGGCUCGGAUGUUGGCGUAAUGGUUGUCAGCGACCCGUCUUGAAACACGGACC
rnacentral:rRNA from 1 species